GAGGGGAGAAUUUCAGAAGUGAAAAAUGCCAUGUUUGGUAGUCAGGCAGUGUGUUGAGAUGGAGACAAGAAUUUGAAUGGAGGCAGGAAAAGUACACACAUGGAAAUACUGAAGUUGGUUCUGUCUCUGUGUAUGAAGAUGCUGUGUAAGUGUUGCAAAGCACCACAGAUGACAAUCCCACCACAGAGCAUCCUUCUGAAUGCUGUGUCCUGAAAGAAGCACUGCAGCUGGCAAACUUCCAGGUCAAGGCUUUGUCUAAAGUUACAGUAAAAUGUUAUCCCCUGAGAGCUGUAAAGAAACACUAUGAUGCUGAUAAUUGGUGGUGGCGUUGCUGGGCUGACUGCAGCAGUAGCUGCCAAAGCAAUGGGAAUUGCUGUCAGAAGAUUUGA
rnacentral:lncRNA from 1 species